rnacentral:ncRNA from 1 species
AAUUAAUUAUUAUUUAUCUUUAACUUAUAUGCACAGUAAAUUAUUGAUAUUUAAUAGUUAAAUAAUCCACGUGGUAAAGGGGUCACAGUUAGGUUCACUGUGAUGUGCAACCCUUAUAAUGCGCAACCAAUCCUAAGCAAGUAGGGAGAACUUUUCUUAACCAUAAGGAGUAGCAAGAUGGUGCUUGACAGUCUGAUACUAACUGAACAAUAAGUAUUA